rnacentral:rRNA from 1 species
CCUACGGGCUGCAGCAGCCAGGAAUCUUGGGCAAUGGGCGAAAGCCUGACCCAGCAACGCCGUGUGGGCGAUGAAGGCCUUCGGGUCGUAAAGCCCUGUUGAUAGGGACGAAGGGCGAAGGGUUAAUAGCCCCUAGCCUGACGGUACCUUUCGAGGAAGCCCCGGCUAACUACGUGCCAGCAGCCGCGGUAAUACGUAGGGGGCGAGCGUUGUCCGGAAUUAUUGGGCGUAAAGAGCGUGUAGGCGGUUCGGUAAGUCUGUCGUGAAAUCCUGGGGCUCAACCCCGGGCGUGCGAUGGAUGCUGCCGGGCUAGAGGGUGGUAGAGGCGAGUGGAAUUCCCGGUGUAGCGGUGAAAUGCGCAGAUAUCGGGAGGAACACCAGUAGCGAAGGCGGCUCGCUGGGCCACACCUGACGCUGAGACGCGAAAGCUAGGGGAGCGAACAGGAUUAGAUACCCUUGUAGUC